UACGGGGGGGGCAAGCGUUGUUCGGAAUUACUGGGCGUAAAGGGCUCGUAGGCGGCCAACUAAGUCAGACGUGAAAUCCCUCGGCUUAACCGGGGAACUGCGUCUGAUACUGGUUGGCUUGAAUCCGGGAGAGGGAUGCGGAAUUCCAGGUGUAGCGGUGAAAUGCGUAGAUAUCUGGAGGAACACCGGUGGCGAAGGCGGCAUCCUGGACCGGCAUUGACGCUGAGGAGCGAAAGCCAGGGGAGCAAACGGG
rnacentral:rRNA from 1 species